AUCCCAAACAGUUGUACUAGCUCAUAACUAAUAAGGUCAUAACAGUCAAAUGUCGUUAUGCAGUUGACCAAACUAUAAAGUUUUGAGCUCUGUUGAGAUUUGUGUCACUUUAAUUGAAUAGGGCUCAGUAUUUUAGAGUUAAUUUGUGUGGAACGCUCAAAAAGUUUAGGAACCAUGUAUUAGCGUCAUGACGUUAUCGACGUCAUGACGUAUUGGUGGGUGGGUCUUAUCGCUCCCUCAGGAAAGCUGAGUCAGCCAUCUUGAAUUUGCCUUGAUGCGGGUGAAGUUUUGGCAAGCUCAUGUGGAUGUGGAACACAGUUUAAUUUGUUUUUAAUUGUUUAUAUCUGUUUGGAAUGCGUACUUUUAUACCCCCGCUUCAAACCACCACCACCUCAGUUAUUUUCAUUAGUCUUAUUGCUCUCAUUUUCUUAAGCGCUGUCUUAUCAUCAGCCCUGAUUUGUUCAUCUUACAGCAGUGUAACGUUAUCAGCGGGUUUCCUGGAUGAACUACAUUACCCAUAAUGCAUGUUUGCCCGGGACAUUGACGGUUGAGGAAGGUCCAUGAGUUUUGAAUUCUCUGGCGGAGUCCGAAAGCAUAACGUUAUCCCUGAUUCCCGCCGUUUUCGCUGUUCGUCGUUAAUGCAUGUGCGUACUUUGAGUAUAACGUUACAUAUUUAAAUAAAUGUCUGCGUUAUGCAGUAAAUAUUUUACGUUGGGUUAGGUCGAGCUGUGUGUGAUCGCGUGUAACUAAACAACAUAAUAUAUCGGACUACAAAGAGUGCUACAGAGAGUCAGUGUUUCACUAUCAGACAGGUGCCAAUAGAAAGCUCGAAAAGCUGAGGUCAACUACAUCAUCAACCUAUCAAAGGAUCAAACCCCAGCCACUCUGGAAACAAUGAGAGAAGAAAUC